GUAUAUUCGGUGUAUGGAAGGACUUUAAGGUGUACAUGUCCAACUGGCAGGUGUCAUCUGACCUUGACCUCAUUUUCAUGGUUCAGUGGUUAUAGUUAAAUUUUUGUGUUUUGGUCUGUUUUCUCAUACCAUAUGCAAUAGGUCUACUAUAUUUGUUGUAUGGAAUGAUUGUUAAGUGUACAUGUCUAGCGGGCAGAUGUCAUGUGACCUUGAACUCAUUUUCAUGGUUCAGUGGUCAAAGUUAAGUUUUUGAGUUUUGGUCUUUUUAUCUAAUGCUAUAUGCCAUAGGUCAACUAUAUUU
rnacentral:lncRNA from 1 species